rnacentral:rRNA from 1 species
UAGUAAUUGUGUCAGCAGCCGCGGUAAUACGGAGGAUGCGAGCGUUAUCCGGAUUUAUUGGGUUUAAAGGGAGCGCAGACGGGUCGUUAAGUCAGCUGUGAAAGUUUGGGGCUCAACCUUAAAAUUGCAGUUGAUACUGGCGUCCUUGAGUGCGGUUGAGGUGUGCGGAAUUCGUGGUGUAGCGGUGAAAUGCUUAGAUAUCACGAAGAACUCCGAUUGCGAAGGCAGCACACUAAGCCGUAACUGACGUUCAUGCUCGAAAGUGUGGGUAUCAAACAGG